CCUACGGGCGGCAGCAGUGAGGAAUAUUGGUCAAUGGACGCAAGUCUGAACCAGCCAUGCCGCGUGCAGGAAGACUGCUCUAUGAGUUGUAAACUGCUUUUGUACGAGGGUAAACGCAGAUACGCGUAUCUUUCUGUAAGUAUCGUACGAAUAAGGAUCGGCUAACUCCGUGCCAGCAGCCGCGGUAAUACGGAGGAUUCGAGCGUUAUCCGGAUUUAUUGGGUUUAAAGGGUGCGUAGGCGGGCGGAUAAGUUAGAGGUGAAAGCCCGAGGCUCAACUUCGGAAUUGCAUCUGAUACUGUUCGGCUAGAGAGUAGUUGCGGUAGGCGGAAUGUAUGGUGUAGCGGUGAAAUGCUUAGAGAUCAUACAGAACACCGAUUGCGAAGGCAGCUUACCAAGCUACCUCUGACGUUGAGGCACGAAAGUGUGGGGAGCAAACAGGAUUAGAUACCCUAGUAGUC
rnacentral:rRNA from 1 species